CCUACGGGAGGCAGCAGUGGGGGAUAUUGCACAAUGGGGGGAACCCUGAUGCAGCGACGCCGCGUGGGUGAAGAAGCGCCUAGGCGCGUUAAGCCCUGUCAGUAGGGAAGCAAAUGACGGUACCUGAAGAAGAAGCACAGGCUAACUACGUGCCAGCAGCCGCGGUAAUACGUAGGGGGCCAGGGUUAUCCGGAUUUUCUGGGUGUAAAGGGGGCGCAGACGGGGAUGCAAGCCAGGAGUGAAAGCCCGGGGCCCAACCCCCGGACUGCUCGUGGAACUGCGUGGCUGGAGUGCAGGAGGGGCAGGCGGAAUGCCUGGUGUAGCGGUGAAAUGCGUAGAUAUCAGGAGGAACACCGGUGGCGAAGGCGGCCUGCUGGACUGCAACUGACGUUGAGGCCCGAAAGCGUGGGGAGCAAACAGGAUUAGAUACCCGAGUAGUC
rnacentral:rRNA from 1 species